rnacentral:rRNA from 1 species
UGCCAGCAGCCGCGGUAAUACGGAGGGUGCGAGCGUUAAUCGGAAUUACUGGGCGUAAAGCGAGUGUAGGCGGCAGCAUAUGUCGGAUGUGAAAGCCCCGGGCUUAACCUGGGAAUUGCAUUCGAAACUGUGCAGCUUGAAUCAGACAGAGGGAUGUGGAAUUCCGGGUGUAGCGGUGAAAUGCGUAGAUAUCCGGAGGAACACCAGUGGCGAAGGCGGCAUCCUGGGCCAAUACUGACGCUGAGGUGCGAAAGUGUGGGGAGCAAACAGGAUUAGAUA